rnacentral:rRNA from 1 species
UACGAAGGGGGCUAGCGUUGUUCGGAAUCACUGGGCGUAAAGGGCGCGUAGGCGGGUCGUUAAGUCAGGGGUGAAAUCCCAGAGCUCAACUCUGGAACUGCCUUUGAUACUGGCGACCUAGAGUUCGGAAGAGGUUAGUGGAAUUCCCAGUGUAGAGGUGAAAUUCGUAGAUAUUGGGAAGAACACCAGUGGCGAAGGCGGCUAACUGGUCCGAUACUGACGCUGAGGUGCGAAAGCGUGGGGAGCAAACAGG